AGUUGAUAGGUGGUUGCUGAGGAAACUGGUUUCACCAGGGAUGAGAUGGUUAGCAGCUAGGGAUCUAAAUUUUUUGAAUACUCAUGAAGUUGGUGGGCAUGAAAAGUUGCAAAGUGCAUGUGGGAGUUGUUCUGAAAUGUCCAAAGCAGGCUGAUCAAGGAUAACAAUAGUAAAGCAGGUCUUUAGUGAAAGUUGUGAGAAUUGUCUUUGUUUCUUUGCUCUGGUAGUAUGCU
rnacentral:lncRNA from 1 species